CUGGUUCGGUACAUUGUAACUAACGAAUGGCGUUCCGUUCAUGCAAUAACUGUCAAACAGAAUGAGAAGUGGAAGUCUCAGUGGUGUUCGUGCUGUCGAGUGACCGAUUUUAGUUCCAUACACUUGACGACAAAACACAGCUUGUCACAUUCGUAUCCCAAGAUGGCCGCCGUCACGUGUUCGUGCAUACGAACGCCGACCACCCAGUUGAUCACUUAGAAUGUUAG